rnacentral:rRNA from 1 species
AACAAACGCUGGCGGCGUGCCUAAUACAUGCAAGUCGAGCGGGGUAGCAAUACCUAGUGGCGCACGGGUGAGUAACGCGUGGAUAAUCUGCCUUAGAGUGGGGGAUAACUAGUCGAAAGAUUAGCUAAUACCGCAUAAGACCACAAGAGCUGCGGCUCAAGGGGUCAAAGGUUUUUCGCUCUAAGAUGAGUCCGCGUAAGAUUAGCUAGUUGGUGAGGUAAUGGCUCACCAAGGCGACGAUCUUUAACUGGUCUGAGAGGAUGAUCAGUCACACUGGAACUGAGACACGGUCCAGACUCCUACGGGAGGCAGCAGUAGGGAAUAUUGCACAAUGGAGGAAACUCUGAUGCAGCGACGCCGCGUGAGUGAUGAAGGCCUUCGGGUCGUAAAGCUCUGUCGCAGGGGAAUAACACAAUGAAUGUACCCUGUAAGAAAGGAUCGGCUAACUUCGUG